UACAGAGGUCCCAAGCGUUGUUCGGAUUUACUGGGCGUAAAGGGUGCGUAGGUGGCGAGGUAAGUUCGAUGUGAAAUCUCCGAGCUCAACUCGGAAAUGGCAUUGAAUACUAUCCCGCUUGAGGGUCGGAGGGGAGACUGGAAUUCUCGGUGUAGCAGUGAAAUGCGUAGAUAUUGGGAGGAACACCAGUGGCGAAGGCGGCUCACUGGACCGGAACUGACGCUGAGGCGCGAAAGCGUGGGGAGCAAACGGG
rnacentral:rRNA from 1 species